rnacentral:lncRNA from 1 species
CAAAAAUAUUGUGGUUGAUGCUGUUCUUGUUGGCAGGGCAAAGAAUACUGUUCUACAUGGAAUCAGCUAUGUAACAGGUGGAUAUUGCUUUAAGCCAGAAAAGGCAAAGGCUGCCCUUAAGCUUUUGGAGAUGGAAACUGUCUUGUCCAUGGAGCUGAGGGCAGAGAGAACAAGGGUACCUGUGUCUUCAAUAAAAACAGAGGAAGACUUGAUCAAACAUUCUGCCACUAAUGGCUACGAUGAAAAACCAGAAAGGAAGCUUCCUGCUCAAAUCACUGAGAAAGUAGCAAGGACAGAGAGGUACUGAGUGUACAAUUGAAAGUUAACUUGUAGUCUAAAUUGGACAUUAUUUAAUUAUGGUCAAUUUGAGAGAUAGGUGGCAGU